rnacentral:rRNA from 1 species
GACGAACGCUGGCGGCGUGCCUAAUACAUGCCAGUUGAGCGAUGAAGAUUGGUGCUUGCCCCAAUUUGAAGAGCAGCGAACGGGUGAGUAACGCGUGGGGAAUCUGCCUUUGAGCGGGGGACAACAUUUGGAAACGAAUGCUAAUACCGCAUAAUAACUUUAAACAUAAGUUUUAAGUUUGAAAGAUGCAAUUGCAUCACUCAAAGAUGAUCCCGCGUUGUAUUAGCUAGUUGGUGAGGUAAAGGCUCACCAAGGCGAUGAUACAUAGCCGACCUGAGAGGGUGAUCGGCCACAUUGGGACUGAGACACGGCCCAAACUCCUGCGGGAGGCAGCAGUAGGGAAUCUUCGGCAAUGGACGAAAGUCUGACCGAGCAACGCCGCGUGAGUGAAGAAGGUUUUCGGAUCGUAAAACUCUGUUGGUAGAGAAGAACGUUGGUGAGAGUGGAAAGCUCAUCAAGUGACGGUAACUACCCAGAAAGGGACGGCUAACUACGUG